UCAGCCAAUCUUGCAGCGCCUCGCUUCCGUCCCAACCAAUGACUGAGCGGUCCGCGCACAGCCACCUGACCUCCAGAGCUGUGGUUAUUAGGGGUGCCGAGGCAGGUGGCGCGCGGCAUCCUUGCUAGAGCUCGGGCCCCGGAACCGACCACGGGAAUGAAGGAAAAGAGAAAGGGAGGGCUUGGGGGGAAGCCGGGAUGAGGGAGCACGCGACUACCCGCCAGCCAACCCUAACUGUUAUCAACCGUCGCCAAUUGUCGGUCCUUUUCAGUUCGGGUUGUGGGCUGAACGGAUCACCACCGCUGCCCUCCUCCGCCGCCCCAUCCCUCCCUUCCUCUCCCCGCUCAGCCCCCGCCCACAGCUCUCGCCCGGCUUACAGAUCCCAGAGUACAUGAAUCAAUCACCAUAUAUACCAAUAUGUCAAAGAAGACACAUUUCAUAACCAGGAAAUAUUACAGGUGAUUGAAAAGAGAUGUUUGUAGAAAAUAAAACAUGACAUCUCCUCGCAAAAUGGAUGAUCUGUUGAUAUUUAUCCUCAGUGUCUAGGAUUACAACAAGAAGGAUCAAGAAGCUCUCUCCAUUCCACAGUAUACACAUAAUAUAAAGUCAGCUGGCUCAUCUUGUUUAAUUUUUUAGAGGUUUUGUUAUGUCACUUCUUUGACACUAGUAUGCUAAAUGUCCCUUUGAAGCAAUGUGAUAUAUGUAUACAAAAGCACAACUACCUUUAAAUCUAUAUCUAAUUGUUAGCUAUUACUAUGUGGAAUACAGAUUUUGAACUCUUUACAAAUAUAUUUACAAAUCAAAAAUUACAAAUCAUUUCAGCCAAAAAUAAAUUUUCUUUUCCCAUA